GACGAACGCUGGCGGCGUGCUUAACACAUGCAAGUCGAACGGAAAGGCCCUGCUUUUGUGGGGUGCUCGAGUGGCGAACGGGUGAGUAACACGUGAGUAACCUGCCCUUGACUUUGGGAUAACUUCAGGAAACUGGGGCUAAUACCGGAUAGGAGCUCCUGCUGCAUGGUGGGGGUUGGAAAGUUUCGGCGGUUGGGGAUGGACUCGCGGCUUAUCAGCUUGUUGGUGGGGUAGUGGCUUACCAAGGCUUUGACGGGUAGCCGGCCUGAGAGGGUGACCGGCCACAUUGGGACUGAGAUACGGCCCAGACUCCUACGGGAGGAAGCAGUGGGGAAUAUUGCACAAUGGGCGGAAGCCUGAUGCAGCAACGCCGCGUGCGAGAUGACGGCCUUCGGGUUGUAAACCGCUUUCGCCUGUGACGAAGCGUGAGUGACGGUAAUGGGUAAAGAAGCACCGGCUAACUACGUG
rnacentral:rRNA from 1 species